UUUAGGUCGUUCUGUGAGCAACUCUUGGUAUAAUUGGUUGCAAUGGCGAUAUCACAAGCUCUUCAUGGAUAUGUGACGAUGGUUCGGGUUACAGGUCUUCCCGUUACUCAUCAAGAAGUUUUCACACGAAGAGCAAGCAAAUUUAGUAUGGCAGUUCUUAUGUAGCAUCCCUGUAAACAUGAUGGCAAAAUUUCUUCCAUGGAUUUCUGCUUCUGUUUCUACAGAUGAGAAUCAAGAUAUUCUUGAUUGCCUAAGUAAAAUAGUUCCUGAAGAAAAACUCCUCCAAGAGGUUGUUUUCACGUGGUUUGGAGGGAAAUCAGAAAGCAGUUCUACAUGUGAGUCUAGCUCUGGUCAAUGUGA